rnacentral:rRNA from 1 species
AGCGAACGCUGGCGGCAGGCCUAACACAUGCAAGUCGAACGAACCUUUCGGGGUUAGUGGCGGACGGGUGAGUAACACGUGGGAACGUGCCUUUAGGUUCGGAAUAACUCAGGGAAACUUGUGCUAAUACCGAAUGUGCCCUUCGGGGGAAAGAUUUAUCGCCUUUAGAGCGGCCCGCGUCUGAUUAGCUAGUUGGUUGAGGUAAUGGCUCACCAAGGCGACGAUCAGUAGCUGGUCUGAGAGGAUGAUCAGCCACAUUGGGACUGAGACACGGCCCAAAGGCCGACGGGCGGAAGUAGGGGGGUAUCGCGCGCAAUGGGCGGACGCCUGACGACGCCAUGCCGGGUGAAUGAUGAGGUUAUUAUGAUUGUAAAAUUCUUGCACCGGGGACGAUAAUGACGGGACCGGGAGAAGACGCCACGGCUAACUGCGUGCCAGCAGCGGCGGGAAUAGAUAGGCGCCCCACGCUUUAUC